GUGUUAUUGUAAUACUUAAUUACAUGCGAAUUAUUUAAUUUAUGUUCUAGCUUAUAGAAAAACAUUGUAACUAACAAGAUGUUUGCGAUAUAAGAAUAAGUUUUGUUAUGUAUAAAUUUAUUUUUGCCCAGGCGGCAGUAUGUUUAGAGCAAUUCUAAACAUGAAGUAUGCAUAACUAUUUUUUGAAUUUUGAAAUAGAAAAAUAAUAUAGUAAUAAUUUUGACAACAUAGUCAUUGUAAGUCAAUCAACAAUUUAGGUCGUAUGUGCACGUGUUGUAACUACAUUAAAAUAAAAUAAAAGUAAUCUUCUCUCUGAAUAUAUCGGAUUAUUGAAGCGACCAGCAAAAAAUACAGUCCACGCUCUACACACCACCACACUGCCUAUUACAGCCGUAAAUCAGUAAUGCGUUUCGGUUUGAACGGUGGGGCAGCCGUUGUAACUAUACUGAGACCUUAGAAUUCAUAUCCCAAGGUGGGUGGCGGCAUUUAUUUUAUAGAUGUCUAUGGGCUCCGGUAAAUAUUUAACACCAGGUGGGCUGUGAGCUCGACAACGCAUUAAUGUAACAAAAAAAAAGUCCAACACGUUAACUUCCUGCUCUAGUUCACGACAGAAACCGCCCAGCCCCAUCCCAGUCGUCGACGACAAUGAUGAACUAAUAGCAUGGUAACUCGGAUAAGCCACCAGCUGGAAGAGGUCGUAGGCCAAGUCCAAGCCGUAGGUAGUCCGACCCGAGAAACUCUGGUAAUAAUGUCUCCCCUCCGCAAAUGCGAACUGCUCAAUGCGGUCAGACCUUCUUGAACGGAAUAUUGAUGUAUGGAUGGAGGCACGCGGGAAGUCUCAAUAACUCGUUUUUUUCAUACGAACAGCUAGCGUGAUUGGGUCAACGGAACCCGUUAAAAAAAUUAAAUAAUAAAUCUCAAAUUACACUCAUAAAUAAGUAAUAGAGUUUGAAGUUCAACAAGAACAUACUAAUAUAUUCCUAAGUCCAGGAAGUGAAUCGGCAAAUGCAUCACAAGUGCUUCAGCUUUGCUAAUUGUACGACCAUAAAUAGCCUGCCCUGCCCACUGCUACUGCCCAGUCAACACGAACUUAUUAUUAUCUGAGGUUUGGACUUGUUCAACCAAUGGACAUCGCUUUAGCUUUGGAGAUCGAGCAGGUCUCGCGUCAGAAGGCGCUGGAGGAGGAAGCGCUUCGGGGCGAGUCGGCUGUGCGGCAGUUCUACGCGGGAACCACAGCGCUGAUCACUGGAGGGACGGGCUUCAUCGGGAAACAACUCAUAGAGAAGCUUCUAAGAUCGUGUGACGUUAAGCGGAUUUACAUACUGAUGAGGUCGAAAAAAGGGAAAUCAAUGUCAGAAAGACUGCAGUCACAAUUAAACGAGCCAGUAUACGACAAUUUACGAUCUCAACAACCAGAUUUCACUCGGAAAGUUAUACCGGUGGAAGGCGACAUCUCAGAGCUAGGCGUCGGCCUGAACAACGAAGACAGGAUGAAGCUUGCGCAAGAGGUGAAUGUGAUAUUCCAUGUGGCUGCCACGACCAGGUUCGAAGAGCCACUGAAGAAGGCCACAUUCAUCAACGUCAGAGGAACCAGGGAGAUCAUGGAAUUGGCCAAAUGCUGCAAAGAUCUAAGGUCCUUCGUACACGUGUCAACUGCGUUCUCUAAUGCAACCAAGAGUAAAAUAAAUCACGAUUUGGAAGAGAAAAUCUAUGAAAGCCCUGUCCCUCCGGAAGUCAUGAUACAGCUCGCGGAGACAGUCGAAGAAUGCAGACUCAACGCGAUCACUGCUGAUUUGAUAAGGGACUGGCCCAACACGUACUGCUUCACGAAGGCCAUAGCUGAGGAUGUCGUGCGUACAAUGGGCAAGGAUUUACCUGUGGCCAUAGUGAGGCCACCCGUAGUUGUCUGCACGCUCAAUGAACCCACACCUGGAUGGCUGGAUAUGAGCUCGGUGAUUGGUCCAAGCGGGAUAUUUUUGACAUUAAUGCUAGGCGUUAUGCACGUAAUUUUAAAGAGUGAUGUUAGCAUUCCAAUAAUGCCCGUGGACUACGUCAACAAUGCGGUAAUAGCAACAGCAUCGUAUACCAAUAAACGUUACAAUAAGAAUGAAAAAGGAAUUAAAGUUUAUAAUAUAUAAGCUGUUCUGGGAGCAAAAUUGAAACAUGUAAGUAUCAAAAUGAUUCAACAUACGUGAUUAGAAAAGCUUACGGCUAUUGUCAGGGUUCACGGACAACUUUUAUUGUUUAGUGCACUUCAGUAUUUGAGGGGAAAGUCUCCACUGCAAUGUUUAUUAAGCUAUUAUUUCGUCUAUAUUAUAAAGAGGAGAGAUUUGUUUGUUUGUUUGUAUUGAAUAGGCUCCGAAACUAUUGAACCGAUUUGAAAAAUUCUUUCACUGUUUGGAAGCUACACUAUUCCCGAGUAACAUAGGCUAUAAUCUUUUUUGAAAAAAACUAGGGAUCCUUGCUAAUACUCCAAUAAUGUAACCCAAGGUGUAAAAAAAUUACCUAAAAUAUUCUUUACAUCGCGUGCCCUGCGAAAACUAUUGAUGAUAGAAUAAACUAAUGUACUACGACUUUGUAGAACACAUUAUUAUUUACAAAAAGUGUCGCGACAGCAUAUGUCUAACUAUUAUAGUUAUGCCGCAAUAAGUAUUAUCUUAUUUAAAAAAAUAAAACAACGUCAAAUAUCGUUGAAAUUUUUGUUAAAGACCCGAGCAGACCCGGAGCGGGCUGCUAGUUACUCUAUAUGAGCAGCUGUCAAGGCUUUUAUAAACAAGGAUUCUACAUGACCACGACUGCUCUGUGAAGAGUAACUGGUUAUGAUUAUGAUUUCGUGACUGUGAAAGCCGUUCGUGCCCACAUUUUAUUCAGAACAGUUGACAGCAAUUUUUUUUAUUUUAUUGCUUAAGUGUGUGGUCGAGCUCACAACCCACCUGGUGUGAAGUGGUUACUGGAGCCCAUAGACAUCUAGAACGUAAAUGCGCCACACACCUUGAGAUAUAGUUCUAAGGUCUCAGUAUUGUCACAACGGCUGUCCCACCCUUCAAACCGAAACGCAUUACUGCUUCACGGCAGAAAUAGGCGGGGCGGUGGUACCUACCCGUGCGGACUCACAAGAGGUCCUACCACGAGUAAUUACGCAAAUUAUAAUUUUGCGGGUUUGAUUUUUAUUACACGAUGUUAUUCCUUCACCGUGGAAGUCAAUCGUGAACAUUUGUUAAGUACGUAUUUUAUUAGAAAAAUUGGUACCCGCCUGCGGGAUUCGAACACCGUUGCAUCGCUCGAUACGAAUGCACCGGACGUCUUAUCCUUUAGGCCACGACGACUUCAUAAUUCAGGCUUAACAGGAUUAUGGCCUUUAAACAAAACCAUUCGUGUGUGUAUGUGUGCGUGUGGCGUAUUAAAGCGCACAAGAAGCAACAGGGAGUUGAGUACAGAGUGACAGAUCCCGCCCCGAUAACGCUAGGGACUACUCCUGGGGUGCUUUCAUACCCGAUCCUGUGGACCGCAUGGUAAACAGUCGACGUCGCCCUAAGCACAUUAUUGCGGAUCCUCCCAAUCCAUUAACGGUGCUUUUAGAUACCUCAAGCACCGGUCACCGUCCUCGUCGAACCCGACGCUUUCGACAAAGGGCACGACGUGUAAGUUAACCCAUAGACACAGCCCACUGAGUUUCUCCCCGGAUUUUCUCAGUGGGUCUCGUUUCCGAUCCGGUGGUAAAUUCUGCGAAGCACUGCUCUUGUUAGGGCCACUGUAAACAACACUCCCGGUUGAGCCCCGUGAACUCUCCUACACGUCAGGGCGAAGCUCUCAAGGCUGUCAGCAUAGGAUAAAAAGGUGCCAAAAAUAUGACCAUUCCAAAAAAAGCACCGUACUGUGCCAAUCUGAAAUCUUUUCUUGUGAUCUGUAGCCAGUUAUGUCGGUCAGUGGCACAGUGAAAUGCGUCGCUCAGUUCCGUGACGAGAUUAUUCACUCAUUGAUUACUCAUACACUUGAUUACUUCAUCAUUUCGGGCUCCGACCCCUGGAUCGUUUGCCAUCCACUUUAAGCGUAUUUUUUUUUAUGAUUGAAGCAUUACCUUGCCUUUCUUAUUGUUUGGAUGGGUGGACAAUCUGACCUGGUGUAAAGUAGUUACUGGAGCCCAUAGACAUCUACAAGGUAAAUGCGCCACCCACCUUGAGAUAUAAGUUCUAAGGUCUCAGUAUAGUUACAACGGCUAACCCACCCUUCGAACCGAAACGCUUUACUGCUUUACGGCGGAAAUAGGCGGGGUAGUGGUACCUACCCGUGCGGACUCCCAAGAGGUCCUACCACCAGUGAUUACGCUAAUUAUAAAUUUGCGGGUUUGAUUUUUAUUACACGAUGUUAUUCCUUCACCGUGGAAGUCAAUCGUGAACAUUUGUUGAGUACGUAUUUCAUUAGAAAAAUUGGUACCCGCCUGCGGGAUUCGAACACCGGUGCAUCGCUACACACGAAUGCACCGGACGUCUUAUCCUUUAGGCCACGACGACUUCACUCCGCUUGCCUCGGAGGCCUUUCUAGUUUCACCAGGACAUGUGGCCGAGCACAGGCUCAGCUAGGAAGGGUGAGAUUAGCCAACCUAACUUCUCAAGAGCAGCUGCUUCGUUAAUGAAUCGUCUACCGGAUUGGAAUCGCGACCCGGUGAGAAGACCGAGCGAGAAACUCAGCGGGCUGAUGCAUGGCUUUUGUGUCUGAUUUCCUGAACAAUCCUAACACACAACAGUACGCUACGCCGAAAGCCGUUUGGUACUGUUAUGGUUUUGAGACCAGUAGCGAUGUUGUAUUUUGGUUGUUAACAUGGCUACUGCAUUAUAUACCUGCGUAUGUAGCCGACUUCGUGUUUAAUGUGACCUCCAUGAAGCGUCCUGAGGGCAUAAAGUCAUUCGUUAAAAUGUAUGAAAAGAUAUACAACAUGUCUUUGUUGUACGGCUAUUUCCUGAGGAACCAGUGGAAUCUUGUCGAUGACAACACCGUGGCCAUGUUGAACCAAAUGUCAAAAACGGACAGGAUAUUGUUCAAUUUUGAUGUUGCGAAGAUCGAUUGGUCGCACUAUAUGUCGAUAUGGUUGAUAGGCAUAAGAAAGUUCAUCAUUAAAGACGGCCUCAAAGACAGCGAAUAUGGUAGGAAGAAACAGAGCUGGUUGAAGAUAGCUAAUUUAUGUUAUCAUGGACUAUUUUUUGGAGUCGUCAUUUUUUUUGUGUACAUUUGCUGUGCAAUAUUCAUGUAUGUGUUUCGAUCAUAUGAGCAUGCAGUAUAGACUUAUUUAAAGUGCACCAUGUGAAAUAUAGUAAUAUAAAGUACUUACUUUUUUGUAAUGUAGUUGGUGAAGGUUUGAAGUCGCAGUUACCAGGAGUAUUGGUACUAAAUUGCCACUCCUAUAUUGUUUGUUAUCUUUUAUCUAUCUAUUUGUACGUGGUUAAUAAAUAAGAAUCAAUACAUAUUACUUCUAGAAAUUUUUAUAUUUUAUUUUUAUAUAAUACCUACCUAUUUUAUUCAGUGUACGUACUAAUCAUGGGAGUAGUAUGUUUGCAUUCCAAUAAAUACAGGUCGGAUAAAAGUUUUUAUUUAGUUGUUUAAAACUUAAAAGUUGCAGUAAAUAAUUUUAUUGUACUAUUUAUAUUUUUGCUUCAUAAUGCAAAAUGUCAUAUUUUACGAACGACAGAAUAAAUAGUUUCUUGCAAUA